UGAAAAUUACUGUUUUGAAUCUAUGUUUUCCAGGUGUAAGGAAAAAAAAACCUUCCUCUCAAACUAAUUAUGACAGUAAUUUGGUAAAAUUACAUUUUAUAAACAAGCUGAAACAUUUAUCUUUUCUCUCUAUCUGAACCUUCCAGAGAUUGGAAGCUUAGUUUCCAGUAAUUUUAUCAGAUAAGUUAGGAAGGUUACUCAGUAACAGGUAUAGAAAUCUAAAGGAAUUUUGGAAACCUUGAGAAGGAAUGAAUUUACUUAGAUCUGUUAGGCAAAAUCUGUGAUAAGCCUUUGGCAUGACUUUCCCAGCCCCAAAAGGUUUUAUUUUAAAAGUUCAGUCUGAGCAAAGCAAGUCUCAGCAAAGCAAAAAAGUCUAUGAUCAAUUAUGAUUAAUGUAAAUCAUCAGGCCAAGUUUCUUGAGACCAGACCUAUAUUACAAACAGGUCUUAAUUAGGUUAAAUUUGGUAAAGAUGAUGGUGAUUUUAGAAAGAGAUGUUUCGAUGAAUGUUAAAUCCUAGUUUGUUAAUGGAGGUCUGUAUCUACUAAGACUUAUUUCCAGGAUAGUUCUUUGCUGUUAGGUAUAUUAAUGUAAAAUUUAAUUGAAUUAUUAAAGGACACUCUAAGGUUGCUUCUGAAGCUUAUCGCAGAAAUCUCUCUUUGGAUGAAGAUCAGAUGCCUCACACAUGAUCUUCAAUCAAGACUGGAAGAAGACAUAAUUUAAGGAACUGUCUCCAACCUGGAUGGAAGGACCUUUCUAUCAGGAAACUACACUACACUAGGAGGAGAAGAUGAUGACAUCAGAAGCAGACAGCUUGCCCAAGAUGCUGAUCCGACUUGUAUGAUCAUUUAUAAUGUUUUCUUGAUUCCUUGGACCUAUGCCUAUCAAUCCCAUGUUUUCUAUCAUGGACAUGAUUCUAUGCUAGUUUAAAACUCAAUCCAAUUGUUGGGUUGUGGCCAAUUACCUGUGCCUAUUCUGGGUUACCUUGGUGCAUUUCUGUUCUUUAGGGCUCUGAUUGGAUACCCCCUGGGAAAUUUGUUUUAUAUGAGUGUUCAGUCCUGUUCUGUCUAUUCAUAAUAGUUCUAGAUGGGAUCCGCUCACCUGGCCAAUUAAAAAUACCUGCUCUGAGGCUGGCCAUAGAUUUAAGUUUUCUCUUAGGGUCAUUUAAACUCAAUCGGAGUGCUGAGCUAAGUCUCAAUAAAAAAUUAACUUCUCACCUA